GCUUACGGCCAUACCAGCCUGAAUACGCCCGAUCUCGUCUGAUCUCGGCAGCUAAGCAGGGUCGGGCCUGGUUAGUACUUGGAUGGGAGACCGCCUGGGAAUACCAGGUGCUGUAAGCC
ensembl:rRNA 5S_rRNA 5S ribosomal RNA